rnacentral:rRNA from 1 species
CCUACGGGUGGCAGCAGUGGGGAAUAUUGCGCAAUGGGCGAAAGCCUGACGCAGCGACGCCGCGUGAGGGAUGGAGGUCUUCGGAUCGUAAACCUCUGUCAGCAGGGAAGAACGGUCACUGUGCUAAUCAGCAGGGAAUUGACGGUACCUGCAAAGGAAGCACCGGCUAACUCCGUGCCAGCAGCUGCGGUAAUACGGAGGGUGCGAGCGUUAAUUGGAAUGACUGGGCGUAAAGCGCUCGUAGGCGGUAUGUCAAGGCAAGGGUGAAAUCCCCGCGCCUAACGUGGGAACUGACUUUGAAACUGGCAAACUGGAGUGUGUGAGAGGAUAGUGGAAUGCCAGGUGUAGGAGUGAAAUCCGUAGAUAUCUGGAGGAACAUCAGUGGCGAAGGCGACUAUCUGGCACAUAACUGACGCUGAGGAGCGAAAGCGUGGGUAGCAAACAGGAUUAGAUACCCCUGUAGUC